rnacentral:rRNA from 1 species
GAAAGAUGCUGGUCCACACCUGGUCAAAAUGAAACCAAAGGAGACUGGUGGGAGUCUCAAGUCCCUCUGAUAUGCAAGUCAAUCAGCAGAACUGGAUGUAGGAGUAAAAAACCAAUUAAGUUGUUUACUAGCU